CAAAGUCUCUAAAAUGCUCACUUCACCCUAGUUUUUGAAAACCGACUUUUUCCUACACCUACGUUUGCCCCCCCUUACAUCAAAAAUCAUCGAACCCGAAGUUUUUCCCGUAAUUUUAUUCAUUUCCAACUCUAUCCACCUUUCCACAAUUUCUCUUUUUCCAUCUACCCUGCAGGUCAUCGUAGGAUCACCAUCGUAGUCGCAAAUGAGGCCCGUGGAUCUCCUUCGUUACUUCAGCAUACAGUCCACAAAAACCAAAUUAGAGUUGGCCAAGUGAAAGUGGGAGAAUACAUAUUCCAAAUGGAGAGGGACUUACCAUCGACCUAAAGGGACGGCUAAGUGGAAUUGCUUACGUUGAGUACUGAGGACGACCAAAAGGAGCAAUAUGAGAAGAGUACAUCACAAUGAAGAACUACAAAUCGCAUAGAUUGUUGAAUUACAGAUUUUCAGCAAGGAAGGACGAUCAGAUCAUAAUCG